CGGUAAGGAGGAAGACCUGACCCACGGCCAGAACAAUCCAAGCAGCCCGAAACACCAAUAAAAUUGUUUUUGUAAUCUGGGAGUUACUGUAACUGGUUGAGAAAAUCUAUUCCGAACUGCACAUGAAGAUACUAAGUGUUGGCAUUACGCUGAAGCACCGUCCAGAGUUGCAGCCUUUGAGGACAUCCCAGACACUUUUGUCCUUGGGGGCAAUCACAGCGGUCCACCCGGCAGCGCUCAGGAAUACUGCAGUUUCAUGUCCAAGUGCUUGGGACUUCUAACAUUGCAAAUCAAAGGCAGUAUGAUCAGAGAUGCCAAGAGGGAUAAAAAUGGGCUCCUUUUUCCCCCCUACAGUUGGAAUUUCUGAAGCGAAAGUGCUGAGUUCCCCCUCUGAAUUGACCAGAGAAUAUACGAAUAUUAGAUAAGCUUCAAGCAGGCAUGAGUUACAACGCCAUUGGCCACGAAUUCAGUGUUAAUGAAUCAACGAUGUGGUACAUCCAGAAAAAGGAAGGGGAGAUUCGCCAAUCUAUAUGAGGCUCUUCCAGAAAAUGCUGGAGUAUCAUCUAUAGUGUAUGAUGAAGCUGUGGAAAAGAUGGGAAAGCAGCUACGUUUGUGGAUUCACGGGGUGAAGACCAAUAAAAGCACAGUGGAUGGCAUUGUUAUGAGACUGAAAGCCAAAGAAAUUGACAGUCAUGUUACCCAGGGUCAGGAAGAUGUUAAGCCCUUCUCGGUUAGUGCAGGCUGGCUUGAUGUUCCAGAUGGCGAAACAGCAUGAACAGUUUUAAGCUUGCUGUUGAGGCAGGUUCUGCAGAUCAAGAGGCUGCAGAAGAAUUUUCUAAAUCCCUGCUAAGCAUUGUACAUGAAAAACGUCACAUUGAAGAAAAGGUUUUCAAUGCUGAUGAGACUGGAUGGUUUUAUAAGAACGUUGGUAAAUGAACCUAUGUAAUGCAAGUAGCUACCAAAGCCCCUGGCUUGAAAUGAUGCAAAGCCCAUGCAACCCUGCUACUGUAUACCAAUGCCAAGGGUGACUUUAAGUGCAAGCCCUAACGGUGUAUGGAGCCCAGAGCCACAAGCACUUGGAGGUAAAGAGAUGAGCUGUGCCAGCCCACUGGAGGUGGGGUGAGCAGAAAUGGCAUCAGGAUUACUCCAGGGUUGCUUCCAUAAUUGCUUCAGCCCAGAAGCAGAACGCUACCUCAAGGGCAAGAGCCUUGCCUUCAGGGUUUUAUUCAUUUUGGAUAAUGCCCCACAUUGCCACGAAGAACUCGAAAAUGCCCACUCCAGCAUAGCGGUUCUUUCCAUGCCCCCAAAUACUACAUCUCAUCCAGCCCCUCAAUCAGGGCAUAAUCAAAGCUUUCAAGGCAGACUGCAUGGGGGGCUUUACAGUAGGGCUUACGAGGUUCCUGAGGCUAAUGAUGAAAACACUGCGCUAGACUAUUGGAAAUCAGUCACCAUAUGCAGUGUGGCUCACAGCCUGGGACUGUGUCAAGCAAGCUACUACCAAUAACUCUGGGGAAAUGGCCGGACUGUGAGAAAUUUCAGACUUCAAAGGUGUUACAGAAAAUAUAACGGACAGUGUCAAAAAUAUAUUGCAUGUUGCACAGCAGAUAAGUGAAGAAGGUUUCAACGACAUGAUAGAAGAUGUAGAGGAAAUUUUGGCAGAGAAGGCAGUAGAGCCCACCAACAGAGACCUGGACAACAUGGCAAACCACGGCAUCCGAGGCAGGGAUGAAAGUCAGCCUGAGAUGCCAAGAAUUGUCCCUUCCACAAUGGCCAAGAUAUCAGAAUGGAAUUCUGCCUUGGAAAAAAUGUUGGUGACAUGGAAGAAUGUGACCCUGUGCUUGAGCGCAGCCUCACAUUUAAACACCUGGCUUCUGCAUUUGUCCCUUAUUCCCAGAUGCUUAGAGAUUUGAGACAGAAAGCCAGGCAGACAAGGCUGAAGCAGUUUUUCAAGCCAGUUUUAAAGGGAAAGUUGGCAACACUGUCAAGUCACUAAAGCCAAGCUCGUGAGGUAGAUAGGUUAGGUUACAACACGCCCCCCUCAUUUGGCGUCUUCCUCUUCUACAGAGUAAGUUUCCUCAGCCUCUCCUCUGGUUUUCAUGGGUGAGCCAAAGUUUAGAGGUUAAACCACAGGGCAUUAACCAUCACACAUCCUUGUAGCUCCAUCCAGUCAUUUUAGUUCAUGUUUUUAUAAAACUGAAAGCUUCAUCUUUGUUUAAUGAUUUUUUUCAGAGCCACCUAUCCCUGCCUUGCUGUACUAUAGAGUAUACAAUCUGUUCACAGUGCCGUAUGUGUGCUGCGUGUGGCUUUCUGAGUGCCGUGCAUGUCAUUGUAAUGUACGUUAUAUAAUGCUGCAAUUGAAACAUGUUUUAUUAUGAGAAGCACUGCAUAUAACUAUUAUUUUUAAAAAAGUAUAUUCAAUAAGCUGUAUUUAGACAAAAACACACAUAAAAUAUUAUGCAUUGAUUGGUUGACAGAAUGUGACCAGCGACCUGCAGAAACCUAAACCCUGUAUUUCCCCCUAGAAGUAAUGUUGCAGCCUUUGUUCAGUGUUCAGUGUAACUUUAUAGACCACAACUACCAUAAGUGAUUUAAUUGUUCCGGGUUGUCUAAUGGUUUAAUACAACUAUUACUACUACAGAAAUGGUGGGAACAAUAUGUUACAGUUUCUGAUGACUAUUAAAUAUAAAAUGAAAAAAGUGAUUUGGGAAUGUACACCUUAAUGAAAUGUAUGGGGCUUUCUGUUUUAAUUCGUUUAUUUGCCAUGGAUGAGUAUCCGUUUUUGCUAGCGAUAUGGUACGUCAUUAGUUGUCUUCCUACCUGAGUUUUUCAUCCGUUUGUUUUUAUUUUAACACAUGAGAAACCUUGUUCAUUAAAAUAAAUUUUAAAAAGCAGAUGGUAAUGGAAGUUUUGCUGUGAUGUAACUUAAUUCUUCAAGGCCUUCUGAGUUACAUAGCCUAAGUCCAGAUAUGAUCUGUCGUAAAUAAAAAGUUUUAAGUCAUCAGA